rnacentral:rRNA from 1 species
GGGCCCGCACAAGCAGUGGAGUAUGUGGUUUAAUUCGAAGCAACGCGAAGAACCUUACCAGGUCUUGACAUCCAACUAACGAAGCAGAGAUGCAUUAGGUGCCCUUCGGGGAAAGUUGAGACAGGUGGUGCAUGGUUGUCGUCAGCUCGUGUCGUGAGAUGUUGGGUUAAGUCCCGCAACGAGCGCAACCCUUGUCAUUAGUUGCUACGCAAGAGCACUCUAAUGAGACUGCCGUUGACAAAACGGAGGAAGGUGGGGACGACGUCAAAUCAUCAUGCCCCUUAUGACCUGGGCUACACACGUACUACAAUGGCCGUUAACAGAGGGAAGCAAGACCGCGAGGUGGAGCAAAACCCUAAAACGGUCUCAGUUCAGAUUGCAGGCUGCAACUCGCCUGCAUGAAGGUGGGAUUGCUAGUAAUCGCGGAUCAUAAUGCCGCGGUGAAUACGUUCCCGGGCCUUGUACACACCGCCCGUCACACCAUGGGAGCCGGUAA